rnacentral:rRNA from 1 species
AUUGAACGCUGGCGGCAGGCUUAACACAUGCAAGUCGAGCGAGCGGCGGACGGGUGAGUAAUGUCUGGGAAACUGCCUGAUGGAGGGGGAUAACUACUGGAAACGGUAGCUAAUACCGCAUACCAUCAGAUGUGCCCAGAUGGGAUUAGCUAGUAGGUGGGGUAAUGUCUCACCUAGGCGACGAUCCCUAGCUGGUCUGAGAGGCUGACCAGCCACACUGGAACUGAGACACGGUCCAAACUCCUACGGGAGGAAGCAGUGGGGAAUAGGGCCAAAUGGGAGAAAGCCUGAUGCAGCCAGGCCGCGGGUGUGAAGAAGGCCUUCGGGUUGUAAAGCACUUUCAGCGAGGAGGCGUUACUCGCAGAAGAAGCACCGGCUAACUCCGUGCCAGCAGCCGCGGUAAUUC